rnacentral:lncRNA from 1 species
GUUCCCUUGCUUCCUCUGCAUCUGCUGCAGCAUCAUCUACUCCCCCUUUUUGGGAAGAAAGAAACUCGACAAAGUUCUUCUUUGCUUUCAAAUGAUAGAGUUCCAUAUCGUUGACGCGUUGCAAGAUCGAUCGAAGAUCUGCCACUGGUACUGUGACCAUAGCAUCUUCCGCAACACUAAAAACAACUUGAGAAGUUCAAAGGUUCUCU